rnacentral:rRNA from 1 species
GUGAAGCGGUAACGGCUCAAAUUUGAAAUCGGCCACCCGGUCGAGUUGUAAUUUGCAGAGGAUGCUUCGGCUUACGCCCCGGCCCAAGUCCGUUGGAACACGGCGUCGCAGAGGGUGAGAAUCCCGUUGCGGCCGGCGGCCCCGCCAUGUGAAGCUCCUUCGACGAGUCGAGUUGUUUGGGAAUGCAGCUCAAAAUGGGAGGUAAAUUUCUUCUAAAGCUAAAUAUUGGCCCGAGACCGAUAGCGCACAAGUAGAGUGAUCGAAAGAUGAAAAGCAUCUUGGAAAGGAAUCGAAACAGCACGUGAAAUUGUUAAAGGGGAAGCGCUCGCGGCGAGAGCCCGCGCGGUCGUUCACCGGGGCCUCGCGCCCCGGGCACGCGGCCGCGUCGGCCAGCAUCGGUUCGGGCGGCGGGAGAAACGCCGACGGCAUGUGGCUCCCCCUCGGGGGAGUGUUAUAGCCGCGGCGCAAUACCGCCCGCCUGGACCGUGGCACGCGCUCUCGCUCGGAUGCUGGCGUAAUCGCCGCGAGCGGCCCGUCUUGAAACACGGACCAAGGAGUCGACCAACGGCGCGAGUGUGAGGGUGUCAAGCCCUGGCGCGGAAUGAAAGUGAUCGAGGUGCGAAACUUGUAAGCAGCAUCGCCCGGUCCUGAAGUUCACGGAUGGAUCUGAGGAAGAGCGCCGCUGGUCGGACCCGAAAGAUGGUGAACUAUGCCUGAAUAGGGUG